UACAGAGGGGGCAAGCGUUGUUCGGAAUUACUGGGCGUAAAGGGCGCGUAGGCGGCCUUCUAAGUCGAACGUGGAAUCCCCGGGCUCAACCCGGGAACUGCGUCCGAUACUGGAAGGCUUGAAUCCGGGAGAGGGAUGCGGAAUUCCAGGUGUAGCGGUGAAAUGCGUAGAUAUCUGGAGGAACACCGGUGGCGAAGGCGGCAUCCUGGACCGGCAUUGACGCUGAGGCGCGAAAGCCAGGGGAGCAAACGGG
rnacentral:rRNA from 1 species